rnacentral:misc_RNA from 1 species
ACACCUCAACUCUCGUGGCUUUGCCAUGAUGAGCUUGGACUUUGGGGGUCUUGCUGGCCUGCGGUCAGCUCCUCUCAAAUGAAUUAGCUUGCCAGUGUUUGGUGGCAUCACGGGUGUGAUAACUAUCUACGCUUGUGGUUUUCCACCAGGUAACCUUCAGUGAUGAAGGUUCUCUGGAGCUCAUAAAUGUCUCUCCUCAGCGAGGACAGCUCUUUGAAC